rnacentral:rRNA from 1 species
GGUUGAUCCUGCCGGAGGCCAUUGCUAUCGGAGUCCGAUUUAGCCAUGCUAGUUGUGCGGGUUUAGACCCGCAGCGGAAAGCUCAGUAACACGUGGCCAAGCUACCCUGUGGACGGGAAUACUCUCGGGAAACUGAGGCUAAUCCCCGAUAACGCUUUGCUCCUGGAAGGGGCAAAGCCGGAAACGCUCCGGCGCCACAGGAUGCGGCUGCGGUCGAUUAGGUAGACGGUGGGGUAACGGCCCACCGUGCCCAUAAUCGGUACGGGUUGUGAGAGCAAGAGCCCGGAGACGGAAUCUGAGACAAGAUUCCGGGCCCUACGGGGCGCAGCAGGCGCGAAACCUUUACACUGUACGAAAGUGCGAUAAGGGGACUCCGAGUGUGAAGGCAUAGAGCCUUCACUUUUGUACACCGUAAGGUGGUGCACGAAUAAGGACUGGGCAAGACCGGUGCCAGCCGCCGCGGUAAUACCGGCAGUCCGAGUGAUGGCCGAUCUUAUUGGGCCUAAAGCGUCCGUAGCUGGCUGAACAAGUCCGUUGGGAAAUCUGUCCGCUUAACGGGCAGGCGUCCAGCGGAAACUGUUCAACUUGGGACCGGAAGACCUGAGGGGUACGUCUGGGGUAGGAGUGAAAUCCUGUAAUUCUGGACGGACCCGCGGUGGCGAAAGCGCCUUAGGAGAACGGAUCCCACAGUGAGGGA